rnacentral:rRNA from 1 species
AUGCAUCUCCAACAUCGACUACGGCGAGGGACACGUCAUGGUGCUCCACCGCAUCACGAUGACCCACGGCCUCGUCGCCUCCGACGGUCUCCUCAAAGACAUGAGUCACCUCCUCACCAUGCCGGCCAGGCCGGAGGAGCCGCUUGUGUUUCACGACCAGAAAUACGUCGACCUCCUCUGCAACCUCAACCCGGCGGGUAUAUCAGCGACGACGAUCUCCACCGAACUGCCGAGGAGCAUGACAUCGGCACCAUGCGCCGCCAGGACGGCGCCUGCUCGAACAACAACCCUAUCAUCGACAACCUCCUAGGGUAA